AUUGAACGCUGGCGGCAGGCCUAACACAUGCAAGUCGAGCGAGCGGCGGACGGGUGAGUAAUGUAUGGGGAUCUGCCCGAUAGAGGGGGAUAACUACUGGAAACGGUGGCUAAUACCGCAUACUAUCGGAUGAACCCAUAUGGGAUUAGCUAGUAGGUGGGGUAAAGGCUCACCUAGGCGACGAUCUCUAGCUGGUCUGAGAGGAUGAUAAGGCACUCUGGAACGGAGACACGGCCCAGACUCCUACGGGAGGCAGCAGUGGGGAAUAUUGCACAAUGGGCGCAAGCCGGAUGCAGCCAUGCCGCGUGUAUGAAGAAGGCCUUAGGGGUGUAAAGUACUUUCAGCGGGGAGGCGUUACCCGCAGAAGAAGCACCGGCUAACUCCGUGCCAGCAGCCGCGGUAAUAC
rnacentral:rRNA from 1 species